rnacentral:rRNA from 1 species
UACGUAGGGUGCAAGCGUUGUCCGGAAUUAUUGGGCGUAAAUGGCUCGUAGGCGGUUUGUCGCGUCGGGAGUGAAAACUCAGGGCUUAACCCUGAGCCUGCUUCCGAUACGGGCAGACUAGAGGUAUGCAGGGGAGAAUGGAAUUCCUGGUGUAGCGGUGAAAUGCGCAGAUAUCAGGAGGAACACCGGUGGCGAAGGCGGUUCUCUGGGCAUUACCUGACGCUGAGGAGCGAAAGUGUGGGGAGCGAACAGG